AAGUCGUAACAAGGUUUCCGUAGGUGAACCUGCGGAAGGAUCAUUACCGAGAGGAGGACCUCGCGUCCCCGGGGGGCUUCGGCCCCCACUCUUCACCCUGUGCGUACCCACCGUUGUUGCUUCGGCGCGCGGUCCGCGCCGGUGGUUCCGGGCAUUCACCCCGGGCGCCUUCCCGCGGCCCCGCCGGAGGCCUUCCAAACCCCGUCAUCAGUGUCGUCUGAGGAGAAAUCCAAUAACUAAAAACUUUCAACAACGGAUCUCUUGGUUCUG
rnacentral:misc_RNA from 1 species